GUAGGUGGCGAGCGUUAUCCGGAAUUAUUGGGCGUAAAGAGGGAGCAGGCGGCACUAAGGGUCUGUGGUGAAAGAUCGAAGCUUAACUUCGGUAAGCCAUGGAAACCGUAGAGCUAGAGUGUGUGAGAGGAUCGUGGAAUUCCAUGUGUAGCGGUGAAAUGCGUAGAUAUAUGGAGGAACACCAGUGGCGAAGGCGACGAUCUGGCGCAUAACUGACGCUCAGUCCCGAAAGCGUGGGGAGCAAAUAGGAUUAGAUAUCCUAGUAGUCCACGCCGUAAACGAUGAGUACUAAGUGUUGGGAGUCAAAUCUCAGUGCUGCAGUUAACGCAAUAAGUACUCCGCCUGAGUAGUACGUUCGCAAGAAUG
rnacentral:rRNA from 1 species